rnacentral:rRNA from 1 species
GAUGAACGCUGGCGGCGUGCCUAAUACAUGCAAGUCGAGCGAACAGACGAGGAUCUUGCUCCUCGGAUGUUAGCGGCGGACGGGUGAGUAACACGUGUAUAACCUACCUAUCAGACUGGGAUAACUUCGGGAAACCGGAGCUAAUACCGGAUAACAUGUUGAACCGCAUGGUUCAACAGUGAAAGACGGUUGUGCUGUCACGUAUAGAUGGAUCCCCGCCUCAUUAGCUAGUUGGUAAGGUAACGGCUUACCACGGGAACGAUGCGUAGCCGACCUGCGAGGGUGAUCGGCCACACUAGAACUGGAACACGGUCAAGACUCCUAAGGGAGGCAGCAGUAGGGAAUCUUCCGCAAUGGGCGAAAGCAUGACGGAGCAAGGCCGCGUGAGUGAAGACGGUCUUCGGAUCGUAAAACUCUGUUAUUAGGGAAGAACCAAUGUGUAAGUAAAUAUGCACGUCUUGACGGUACCUAAUCAGAAAGCCACGGCUAACUACGUG